GAUGAACGCUAGCUACAGGCUUAACACAUGCAAGUCGAGGGAAACGAUAGAGGAAGCUUGCUUUUUUUAGGCGUCGACCGGCGCACGGGUGAACAACGCGUAUUCAACCUGCCCAUCACUUGGGGAUAACCUUGCGAAAGUAAGACUAAUACCCAAUGAUAUCACUAGAAGACCACUGAAGGAGAUUAAAGGUUUAUCGGUUAUGGAUGGGGAUGCGUCCGAUUAGCUUGUUGGCGGGGUAACGGCUCACCAAGGCGACGAUCAGUAGGGGUUCUGAGAGGAAGGUCCCCCACAUUGGAACUGAGACACGGUCCAAACUCCUACGGGAGGCAGCAGUGAGGAAUAUUGGUCAAUGGACGAGAGUCUGAACCAGCCAAGUAGCGUGCAGGAUAACGGCCCUAUGGGUUGUAAACUGCUUUUAUAAGGGAAUAAAGUGUGAGUCGUGACUCCUUUUGCAGGUACCUUAUGAAUAAGGACCGGCUAAUUCCGUGCCAGCCGCCGCAGUAA
rnacentral:rRNA from 1 species